AACGAACGCUGGCGGCGUGCCUAACACAUGCAAGUCGUGCGAGAAAGUUCCUUCGGGAGCGAGUAAAGCGGCGCACGGGUGAGUAACACGUAGGUAACCUGCCCCCCAGUCUGGAACAACUAGAGGAAACUCUAGCUAAUGCCGGAUGAGACCACGAUCCCUUCGGGGGUUGCGGCCAAAGAUGGCCUCUACUUGUAAGCUAUCGCUGAGGGAUGGGCCUGCGGGCCAUUAGCUUGUUGGUGAGGUAACGGCUCACCAAGGCUGUGAUGGCUAGCUGGUCUGAGAGGAUGACCAGCCACACUGGGACUGAGACACGGCCCAGACUCCUACGGGAGGCAGCAGUGGGGAAUAUUGCGCAAUGGGCGAAAGCCUGACGCAGCGACGCCGCGUGGGUGAUGAAGGCCUCGGUCGUAAGACCGUCGUCGCGACGGGGAAGGAAAGUAAAGGAC
rnacentral:rRNA from 1 species